CUCAAGCAGAUUAAGUUUUUGAUAGAAAAUGAGAAUAGAAGGUAGUCAAGUGGUGCCUGUUUUUUUCUGUAAUCAUGGCAACAGAAGAGACUGAAUACCAUCUUUUUGUAAGGACGGUGGGGUAGACACCAGUUUUGCGUGCACCUCCACUAAUCCACCAGACAAUCUAACUACAGACCACAGGUUCCAGUUAAAUUUGCUCACAAAGGCUGAGCAAAUGGGCUCAUGCUGAGUGUUGUAACUGGGGUCUGAGAUUUGAAGAUCUCGAGAUGUUACUCCUAACCCCUAUGCCUCAACCACUCAGCCAUCACCUUAGGGACGCGUACUGAAUAGUGAAUACCAUCUUAAACAUCAUUUAUCUCACAAGUAAAAGGAAGACACUUCCAAAAUAGAAAAAGCACCACCGGAGUUGAAAUAUCUCUAUUAUUUUCUUUGCCUCAAGUAGCUGGCUGUAAGAUACUACUUCUGCAAUACCAUCUACUAUCACUAGGCCGAAAAAACCAUGAUAUAAUGCAGACAGUUCAUUAGGUUUUUAUACUAUGUCACGCGUAUUGGAUGUUAAGAUGUACCUAACAUAUUAAGAUACAUAGGCACAUCAAAUACUUUUACGGUAAAUUUCAUUAAAUGCUUCUAGUCAAAAUCAUAAUUGAUACUUCUGGUACAUAUAUUUUAUUUUAUUUUUGACAAGUCAAAGGAGAUAACACAACAACAACAACAACAACAACAACAACAAUCCAGUAUAAUCCCACUUAGUGGGGUCUGGGGAGGGUAGUAUGUACGCAGACCUUACCCCUACCCUGGGGUAGAGAGGCUGUUUCCAAAAGAGAUAACACCUUUCACCUAUUUAAGUUAUGAGCGGGAAAUAAAGUAAAAUUUGUUUAGCCUUGUUCAUAGCUGUCAUUGCAUGAUAUCACAAUGUAUAAGCACUCCCAUGAAUACUAUAUUGCAGGAGACCAGAGGGCACAACAAAAGUCAAACAAUUUAGAUGUAAGAACAUAUAU
rnacentral:lncRNA from 1 species